rnacentral:rRNA from 1 species
UACGUAGGGACCAAGCGUUGUUCGGAUUUACUGGGCGUAAAGGGCGCGUAGGCGGCAAUUCAAGUCAUCUGUGAAAUCUCCGGGCUUAACUCGGAACGGUCAGAUGAUACUGCUUUGCUAGAGUGCGGAAGGGGCAAUCGGAAUUCUUGGUGUAGCGGUGAAAUGCGUAGAUAUCAAGAGGAACACCUGUGGCGAAGGCGGCUCGCUGGGCCGAUCCUGACGCUGAGACGCGAAGGCGUGGGGAGCGAACGGG